AGUAACGCGUUGAUCGAGAAAAGUAGUUAUAGUGGCGAGUUUAGAGAGCCUUCGGAUGGUGCAAGAGGGUCUUAAAGCUAUAGUGAAUGCCCUCGUGAGUGCAGCCCGAAAAGAGUAGGCGCUGCCGGCUGACCCCGUUAAUCGUCUCAGAGACACAAACAAAGUGGAACCGCGAUAUCCCUCGCCUUUGUA
rnacentral:ncRNA from 1 species